rnacentral:rRNA from 1 species
UACAGAGGUCCCAAGCGUUGUUCGGAUUCACUGGGCGUAAAGGGUGCGUAGGCGGUCGGGUAAGUCUGACGUGAAAUCUCCGGGCCUAACCCGGAAACUGCGUUGGAAACUGCCUGGCUAGAGGAAUGGAGGGGAGACUGGAAUACUUGGUGUAGCAGUGAAAUGCGUAGAGAUCCGGAGGAACACCGACGGCGUAGGCAGCGCCCUAGACGAGACCUGACGCUCAGGCACGAAAGCGCGGGGAGCGAACAGG